UUUAUACUUCCUUCGUUUUAAAAUUCUUGUCUUACGUUUGUCUAGAAAUGGAUGUAUAAUAUACAUCCAUUUCUAGACAAACGUAAGACAAGAAUUUUGGGACGGAGAAAGUACUAA
rfam:Hordeum vulgare subsp. vulgare, WGS project CAJW01000000 data, contig: morex_contig_244167